rnacentral:lncRNA from 1 species
GAAACUAAGGCUCUAGGUUUUUUUCCGGUAUGAAGUGGAAUUCUGAAAUAACGAUACCAUUUAGUUCUGAGAGCGGGUACUCUUUGCCUGUGCCGCUUCAUAUGUGCGAAUAAGGGUUGCUCUAUCCUUGGCUAUCUUUGUCAGGUAAUUUGUGUAACUUUCUGACGUAUUUUACUCUGUGGAGUAAUGGAUGUCCGAACAUUAUCUGUCGCACAUGACGGUACCUUGGAGCUCCCCAGGUGCUGCGGUCUGGCUGUUCCUCGCAGGCAUCAGAAGGGCCCCCUCAGAGGUCCAGCCUUGGCUCGCUCACACCGCAGGUUCUCCUCGGUUCUGCAGAGCACAGGCUAACAGUUAAAUCAUCAGAAUUCCUGCAUACGGCAAACUACAGACGGUUCUCCUCUGGCCAAGGGCCCCGGUGAGGAGCAGGCGGGGGAACGAGCAGCG